CCUGACUGCUAUCGGAUUGGUACUAAGCCAUGUGAGUCGUUGUAGCAAUACAAGGCAUACGGCUCAGUAACACGUAGUCAAUCUAACCUAUGGACGGGGAUAACCUCGGGAAACUGAGGAUAAACCCCGAUAGAUCAUUAUGCCUGGAACGGUUUAUGGUCUAAAUGAUUCGUCGCCGUAGGGUGGGACUGCGGCCUAUCAGCUUGUUGGUGAGGUAAUGGCCCACCAAGGCUAUUACAGGUACGGGCUCUGAGAGGAGAAGCCCGGAGAUGGGUACUGAGACACGGACCCAGGCCCUAUGGGGCGCAGCAGGCGAGAAACCUUUGCAAUGUGCGCAAGCACGACAAGGUUAAUCCGAGUGUUUCCUGCUAAAGGAAUCUUUUGUUAGUUGUAAAACCACUGAUGAAUAAGGGGUGGGCAAGUUCUGGUGUCAGCCGCCGCGGUAAAACCAGCACCUCAAGUGGUCAGGAUGAUUAUUGGGCCUAAAGCAUCCGUAGCCUGUUCUAUAAGUUUCCGGUUAAAUCCAUUAGCUCAACUAAUGGGCUGCCGAAAAUACUGUAGAACUAGGGAGUGGGAGAGGUAGACGGUACUCGGUAGGAAGGGGUAAAAUCCUUUGAUCUAUUGAUGACCACCUGUGGCGAAGGCGGUCUACCAGAACACGUUCGACGGUGAGGGAUGAAAGCUGGGGGAGCAAACCGGAUUAGAUACCCGGGUAGUCCCAGCUGUAAACGAUGCAGACUCGGUGAUGCCCUGGCUUGUGGCCAGUGCAGUGCCGCAGGGAAGCCAUUAAGUUUGCCGCCUGGGAAGUACGUACGCAAGUAUGAAACUUAAAGGAAUUGGCGGGGGAGCACCACAAGGGGUGAAGCCUGCGGUUC
rnacentral:rRNA from 1 species